AGUUCGGAUUGUAGUCUGCAACCCGACUACAUGAAGCUGGAAUCGCUAGUAAUCGCGGAUCAGAAUGCCGCGGUGAAUACGUUCCCGGGUCUUGUACACACCGCCCGUCACACCAUGGGAGUCGGAAAUGCCCGAAGUCUGUGACCCAACCGAAAGGAGGGAGCAGCCGAAGGCAGGUCGGAUGACUGGGGUGAAGUCGUAACAAGGUAAC
rnacentral:rRNA from 1 species